UGGGGAAUUUUGGACAAUGGGCGCAAGCCUGAUCCAGCAAUGCCGCGUGCAGGAUGAAGGCCUUCGGGUUGUAAACUGCUUUUGUACGGAACGAAAAGGCUCUGGUUAAUACCUGGAGCAUAUGACGGUACCGUAAGAAUAAGCACCGGCUAACUACGUGCCAGCAGCCGCGGUAAUACGUAGGGUGCGAGCGUUAAUCGGAAUUACUGGGCGUAAAGCGUGCGCAGGCGGUUUUGUAAGACAGAGGUGAAAUCCCCGGGCUCAACCUGGGAACUGCCUUUGUGACUGCAAGGCUGGAGUGCGGCAGAGGGGGGAUGGAAUUCCGCGUGUAGCAGUGAAAUGCGUAGAUAUGCGGAGGAACACCGAUGGCGAAGGCAAUCCCCUGGGCCUGCACCUGACGCUCAUGCACGAAAGCGUGGGGAGCAAACAGGAUUAGAUACCCUGGUAGUCCACGCCCUAAACGAUGUCAACUGG
rnacentral:rRNA from 1 species